GACGAACGCUGGCGGCAUGCCUAAUACAUGCAAGUCGAGCGGAGAAUUUGGAGCUUGCUCCAAAUUCUUAGCGGCGGACGGGUGAGUAACACGUGGGCAACCUGCCCUGCAGAUCGGGAUAACUCCGGGAAACCGGUGCUAAUACCGAAUAGUUUGAGGCCUCUCCUGAGGCUUCACGGAAAGACGGUUUCGGCUGUCACUGCAGGAUGGGCCCGCGGCGCAUUAGCUAGUUGGUGGGGUAACGGCCCACCAAGGCGACGAUGCGUAGCCGACCUGAGAGGGUGACCGGCCACACUGGGACUGAGACACGGCCCAGACUCCUACGGGAGGCAGCAGUAGGGAAUCUUCCGCAAUGGACGCAAGUCUGACGGAGCAAUGCCGCGUGAGUGACGAAGGUUUUCGGAUCGUAAAACUCUGUUGUGAGGGAAGAACACGUACCAGCUAACUACUGGUAC
rnacentral:rRNA from 1 species